GGGAAUCUUCCGCAAUGGACGAAAGUCUGACGGAGCAACGCCGCGUGAGUGAUGAAGGUUUUCGGAUCGUAAAGCUCUGUUGUUAGGGAAGAACAAGUACCGUUCGAAUAGGGCGGUACCUUGACGGUACCUAACCAGAAAGCCACGGCUAACUACGUGCCAGCAGCCGCGGUAAUACGUAGGUGGCAAGCGUUGUCCGGAAUUAUUGGGCGUAAAGGGCUCGCAGGCGGUUUCUUAAGUCUGAUGUGAAAGCCCCCGGCUCAACCGGGGAGGGUCAUUGGAAACUGGGGAACUGGAGUGCAGAAGAGGAGAGUGGAAUGCCACGUGUAGAGGUGAAAUGAGGAGAGAUGUGGAGGAACACCAGUGGCGAAGGCGACUCUCUGGUCUGUAACUGACGCUGAGGAGCGAAAGAGUGGGGAGCGAACA
rnacentral:rRNA from 1 species